CCUACGGGAGGCAGCAGUGAGGAAUAUUGGUCAAUGGACGCAAGUCUGAACCAGCCAUGCCGCGUGCAGGAAGACGGCUCUAUGAGUUGUAAACUGCUUUUGUACGAGGGUAAACGCAGAUACGCGUAUCUGUCUGAAAGUAUCGUACGAAUAAGGAUCGGCUAACUCCGUGCCAGCAGCCGCGGUAAUACGGAGGAUUCAAGCGUUAUCCGGAUUUAUUGGGUUUAAAGGGUGCGUAGGCGGUCGGAUAAGUUAGAGGUGAAAUCCCGAGGCUCAACUUCGGAGUUGCCUCUGAUACUGUUAGGCUAGAGAGUAGUUGCGGUAGGCGGAAUGUAUGGUGUAGCGGUGAAAUGCUUAGAGAUCAUACAGAACACCGAUUGCGAAGGCAGCUUACCAAGCUACGUCUGACGUUGAGGCACGAAAGCGUGGGGAGCAAACAGGAUUAGAUACCCCAGUAGUC
rnacentral:rRNA from 1 species